AUUAAGCGUAGUGGUAUCCUGAGUAGCGCGGGACACGAGAAAUCUUGCGUGAAUCUGCCGGGACCAUCCGGUAAGGCUAAAUACUCCCGAGAGACCGAUAGCGAACCAGUACUGUGAAGGAAAGGUGAAAAGCACUUCGAAUAGAAGAGUGAAAUAGUCCCUGAAACCGUGCGCCUACAAGCGGUCGGAGCUGCUUAAGCAGUGACGGCGUGCCUUUUGCAUAAUGAACCUACGAGUUACUUUUUCCGGCAAGGUUAAGCAUCUUGAGAUGUGCAGCCGAAGCGAAAGCGAGUCUGAACAGGGCGUCGAGUCGGAAGGAGUAGACGCGAAACCAAGUGAUCUACCCUUGGUCAGGUUGAAGGUUAGGUAACACUAACUGGAGGACCGAACCGAUAAGCGUUGAAAAGCUUCCGGAUGAACUGAGGGUGGGGGUGAAAGGCUAAUCAAACUUGGAGAUAGCUCGUACUCCCCGAAAUGCAUUUAGGUGCAGCCUUGUGAGUUACUAAUGUGAGGUAGAGCGACUGAUAAGAUGCGAGGGCUUCACCGCCUAUCAAGUCUUGAUAAACUCCGAAUGCGCAUUAGUUCUAUCACAGGAGUGAGGGCAUGGGUGCUAAGGUCCAUGUCCUAAAGGAGAAGAAUCCAGACCAUCAGCUAAGGUCCCCAAAUAAACACUAAGUUGAACUAACGAAGUCAGAUUGCUAAGACAGCUAGGAUGUUGGCUUGGAAGCAGCCAUUCAUUUAAAGAGUGCGUAACAGCUCACUAGUCGAGGAGUUUGGCGUGGAUAAUAAUCGGGCAUCAAGUGUUUUACCGAAGCUAUGGGAUCAGUAAUGAUCGGUAGGGGAGCAUUCCACUCAGCGUCGAAGGUGAAGCGUGAGCUUUGCUGGAGCGUGUGGAAAAGCAAAUGUAGGUAUAAGUAACGAUAAAGGGGGUGAGAAACCCCCUCGCCGAAAGACUAAGGUUUCCUGAUCAACGCUAAUCGGAUCAGGGUUAGUCGGGUCCUAAGGCUCAGCCGAACGGUGAGGCCGAUGGCAGAACAGGUUAAUAUUCCUGUACUACCUUAAGGAGUGACGUGGAGACGGAGCAGUGACAGCGCCGCGGACUGACGGAAUAGUCCGUUGAAGGGUGUAGAUGUUGAUCAUCCCAGGCAAAUCCGGGAUGAGAGUCGAACCUGAUAGUAUGGAGCGUUCUUCGGAACAAUCCAAUAGUGCGUGUAAGCAUACUCCCAAGAAAAUCCGCUAAACUUAAUCCUUAAGGUACCCGUACCGCAAACGGACACACGUAGUCGGGUUGAAUAUACUAAGGCGCUUGAGUGAUUCACGGUUAAGGAACUAGGCAAAUUGACCCUGUAACUUCGGGAUAAAGGGUCCCAACGAGAGUUGGGCGCAGAGAAUAGGUCCAGGCAACUGUUUAACAAAAACACAGGGCUGUGCCAAAUUGAAAGAUUACGUAUACAGCCUGACACCUGCCCGGUGCUGGAAGGUUAAGAGGAGAUGUCAUCGCAAGAGAAGCAUUGAAUUGAAGCCCCAGUAAACGGCGGCCGUAACUAUAACGGUCCUAAGGUAGCGAAAUUCCUUGUCGGGUAAGUUCCGACCUGCACGAAUGGUGUAAUGAUCUGGACACUGUCUCAACCGUGAGCUCAGUGAAAUUGUAGUAUCGGUGAAGAUGCCGAUUACCCGCGAUGGGACGAAAAGACCCCGUGAACCUUUACUAUAGCUUAACAUUGAAUUUGGGUAAUUGAUGUGUAGGAUAGGCCGGAGACUU
rnacentral:rRNA from 1 species